rnacentral:rRNA from 1 species
CAGUAGCCGCGGGAAUACGUAGGUGGCAAGCGUUGUCCGGAAUUAUUGGGCGUAAAGGGCUCGCAGGCGGUUUCUUAAGUCUGAUGUGAAAGCCCCCGGCUCAACCGGGGAGGGUCAUUGGAAACUGGGAAACUUGAGUGCAGAAGAAGAGAGUGGAAUACCACGUGUAGCGGUGAAAUGCGUAGAGAUGUGGAGGAACACCAGUGGCGAAGGCGACUCUCUGGUCUGUAACUGACGCUGAGGAGCGAAAGCGUGGGGAGCGAACAGGGUUAGAUACCCCUGUAGUCCCUGUCUCUUAUAC